rnacentral:rRNA from 1 species
GUGAGGAAUCUUGCGCAAUGGGGGAAACCCUGACGCAGCAACGCCGUGUGAGUGAUGAAGGCCUUCGGGUCGUAAAGCUCUGUUUGAAGGAAAGAAUGGUAUUUGAAUAAUACUCAAAUAACUUGACGGUACCUUCGGAGGAAGCACCGGCUAACUCCGUGCCAGCAGCCGCGGUAAUACGGAGGGUGCAAGCGUUGUUCGGAAUUACUGGGCGUAAAGGGCGUGUAGGUGGCUAAUUAAGUCAGGUGUGAAAUCCUUCCGCUUAACGGGAGAAGUGCACUUGAAACUGAUUAGCUAGAGUACGGGAGAGGAAGGUGGAAUUCCUGGUGUAGAGGUGAAAUUCAUAGAUAUCGGGAAGAACACCUGUGGCGAAGGCGGCCUUCUGGCCCGAUACUGACACUGAGACGCGAAAGCGUGGGGAGCAAACAGGAUUAGAAACCCUAGUAGUCC